CCAACCACCCAGAAACCGAUGAUUUAUAAUUGAAUUUUCCCCUUAAUUUGUCAGUGAGAGCUUCAGAGGCAGCUCAGGUGCUCCCAGUUAUAAAUUCGGCAGAGUUCAACCUGGGGAGCCCCAGCUCCCUCCUGAUGGCAUUGCAGUUUGUGCCAGGAGGGUUGGAAGAAGGAGCAAGCAGAGCAGAGGUUGGAGAGGGCCGUGUCAUGCGCAGGGUACAGAAGACCAACAAAACAGGCUCCACGUGCUCGCUGCGAGGGGGCUGGCAGCAGGCGAGGAACAUCGUCUCUUGCUCCGUUGAAGUCAAGCAGAAAUGACCCUGGAAAUCAGCAUCCUGCUCAGUAGCCUCUGCUAGGAACACAGCAAAGCUGAAGGCUGCCUCGCUCCAGUCCCACUUAGGCAAUUCUGCGGGAAGGUAACGGCACUGGCU
rnacentral:lncRNA from 1 species